rnacentral:rRNA from 1 species
GAUGAACGCUGGCGGCGUGCCUAAUACAUGCAAGUCGAGCGAACGGACGAGAAGCUUGCUUCUCUGAUGUUAGCGGCGGACGGGUGAGUAACACGUGGAUAACCUACCUAUAAGACUGGGAUAACUUCGGGAAACCGGAGCUAAUACCGGAUAAUAUUUUGAACCGCAUGGUUCAAAAGUGAAAGACGGUCUUGCUGUCACUUAUAGAUGGAUCCGCGCUGCAUUAGCUAGUUGGUAAGGUAACGGCUUACCAAGGCAACGAUGCAUAGCCGACCUGAGAGGGUGAUCGGCCACACUGGAACUGAGACACGGUCCAGACUCCUACGGGAGGCAGCAGUAGGGAAUCUUCCGCAAUGGGCGAAAGCCUGACGGAGCAACGCCGCGUGAGUGAUGAAGGUCUUCGGAUCGUAAAACUCUGUUAUUAGGGAAGAACAUAUGUGUAAGUAACUGUGCACAUCUUGACGGUACCUAAUCAGAAAGCCACGGCUAACUACGUGCCAGCAGCCGCGGUAAUACGUAGGUGGCAAGCGUUAUCCGGAAUUAUUGGGCGUAAAGCGCGCGUAGGCGGUUUUUUAAGUCUGAUGUGAAAGCCCACGGCUCUACCGUGGAGGGUCAUUGGAAACUGGAAAACUUGAGUGCAGAAGAGGAAAGUGGAAUUCCAUGUGUAGCGGUGAAAUGCGCAGAGAUAUGGAGGAACACCAGUGGCGAAGGCGACUUUCUGGUCUGUAACUGACGCUGAUGUGCGAAAGCGUGGGGAUCAAACAGGAUUAGAUACCCUGGUAGUCCACGCCGUAAACGAUGAGUGCUAAGUGUUAGGGGGUUUCCGCCCCUUAGUGCUGCAGCUAACGCAUUAAGCACUCCGCCUGGGGAGUACGACCGCAAGGUUGAAACUCAAAGGAAUUGACGGGGACCCGCACAAGCGGUGGAGCAUGUGGUUUAAUUCGAAGCAACGCGAAGAACCUUACCAAAUCUUGACAUCCUUUGACAACUCUAGAGAUAGAGCUUUCCCCUUCGGGGGACAAAGUGACAGGUGGUGCAUGGUUGUCGUCAGCUCGUGUCGUGAGAUGUUGGGUUAAGUCCCGCAACGAGCGCAACCCUUAAGCUUAGUUGCCAUCAUUAAGUUGGGCACUCUAAGUUGACUGCCGGUGACAAACCGGAGGAAGGUGGGGAUGACGUCAAAUCAUCAUGCCCCUUAUGAUUUGGGCUACACACGUGCUACAAUGGACAAUACAAAGGGCAGCGAAACCGCGAGGUCAAGCAAAUCCCAUAAAGUUGUUCUCAGUUCGGAUUGUAGUCUGCAACUCGACUACAUGAAGCUGGAAUCGCUAGUAAUCGUAGAUCAGCAUGCUACGGUGAAUACGUUCCCGGGUCU